GGAUCGCCCUUAGAGUUUGAUCCUGGCUCAGGACGAACGCUGGCGGCGUGCCUAAUACAUGCAAGUCGAGCGAAUCUGAUAGGAGCUUGCUCCUUUUCAGAUUAGCGGCGGACGGGUGAGUAACACGUGGGUAACCUGCCUGUAAGACUGGGAUAACUCCGGGAAACCGGGGCUAAUACCGGAUAACUUUUUCCUUCGCAUGAAGGAGAAUUGAAAGGUGGCACUAGCUACCACUUACAGAUGGACCCGCGGCGCAUUAGCUAGUUGGUGAGGUAACGGCUCACCAAGGCGACGAUGCGUAGCCGACUUGAGAGGGUGAUCGGCCACACUGGGACUGAGACACGGCCCAGACUCCUACGGGAGGCAGCAGUAGGGAAUCUUCCGCAAUGGACGAAAGUCUGACGGAGCAACGCCGCGUGAGUGAUGAAGGUUUUCGGAUCGUAAAACUCUGUUGUUAGGGAAGAACAAGUAUCGUUCGAAUAGGGCGGUACCUUGACGGUACCUAACCAGAAAGCCACGGCUAACUACGUGCCAGCAGCCGCGGUAAUACGUAGGUGGCAAGCGUUGUCCGGAAUUAUUGGGCGUAAAGCGCGCGCAGGCGGUUUCUUAAGUCUGAUGUGAAAGCCCACGGCUCAACCGUGGAGGGUCAUUGGAAACUGGGAGACUUGAGUGCAGAAGAGAAGAGCGGAAUUCCACGUGUAGCGGUGAAAUGCGUAGAGAUGUGGAGGAACACCAGUGGCGAAGGCGGCUCUUUGGUCUGUAACUGACGCUGAGGCGCGAAAGCGUGGGGAGCGAACAGGAUUAGAUACCCUGGUAGUCCACGCCGUAAACGAUGAGUGCUAAGUGUUAGAGGGUUUCCGCCCUUUAGUGCUGCAGCUAACGCAUUAAGCACUCCGCCUGGGGAGUACGGCCGCAAGGCUGAAACUCAAAGGAAUUGACGGGGGCCCGCACAAGCGGUGGAGCAUGUGGUUUAAUUCGAAGCAACGCGAAGAACCUUACCAGGUCUUGACAUCCUCUUGCCCUCCCUAGAGAUAGGGAUUUCCCUUCGGGGACAAGAGUGACAGGUGGUGCAUGGUUGUCGUCAGCUCGUGUCGUGAGAUGUUGGGUUAAGUCCCGCAGCGAGCGCAACCCUUGACCUUAGUUGCCAGCAUUCAGUUGGGCACUCUAAGGUGACUGCCGGUGACAAACCGGAGGAAGGUGGGGAUGACGUCAAAUCAUCAUGCCCCUUAUGACCUGGGCUACACACGUGCUACAAUGGAUGGUACAAAGGGUUGCUAGACCGCGAGGUUACGCCAAUCCCAUAAAACCAUUCUCAGUUCGGAUUGUAGGCUGCAACUCGCCUACAUGAAGCCGGAAUCG
rnacentral:rRNA from 2 species